UUCUUUGUUGUGGUUGUUAUUGACGUUGUUGUUGAACUGGCAUUGAUUGAUUGUUUGUAAAUACAGGAAUAAUAGAUGAUACUUGAUGAUGGUGUUGACGGGGUUGUGGAUUCCUUCUAACGUGAGGCCUCCUCUGCCUCCCAAUGGAUACUGCAUUAGUCUCGCCUUCUUUCUUUCUGGAAAACCCACUUCUAUACUUCUUCCUAGACGAAACCUCCUCUUUAGACAAUCGUCCCUCUCAGACACCUUCUUCUAACCUCAUCCCGCUGUUUACC
rnacentral:lncRNA from 1 species